rnacentral:rRNA from 1 species
AUUGAACGCUGGCGGCAGGCCUAACACAUGCAAGUCGAACGAGAGGCGGGCGGGUUAGUAAGGUCUGAAACUGCCAGAUGGGGGUGGAUAACUACUGGAGGCAGUAGCUAAUAACGCAUCCAAUUGGACCUGCGCACAUGGGAUUAGCUAGUAGGGGGGGUAAAGGCUGACCAAGGGGACGAUCCCUAGCUGGUCUGAGAGGAUGACCAGUCACACUGGAACUGAGACACGGUCCAGACUCCUACGGUAGGCAGCAGUGGGUAAUAUUGGACAAUGGGCGCAAGCCUGAUGCAGCCAUGCCGCGUGUAUGAAGAAGGUCUUCGGGUUGUAAAGUACUUUAAGCGAGGAGGCGUUACUCACAGAAGAAGCACCGGCUAACUCCGUGCCAGCAGCCGCGGUAAUAC